AAAUUGAAGAGUUUGAUCAUGGCUCAGAUUGAACGCUGGCGGCAGGCCUAACACAUGCAAGUCGAACGGUAACAGGAAGCAGCUUGCUGCUUYGCUGACGAGUGGCGGACGGGUGAGUAAUGUCUGGGAAACUGCCYGAUGGAGGGGGAUAACUACUGGAAACGGUGGCUAAUACCGCAUAACGUCGCAAGACCAAAGAGGGGGACCUUCGGGCCUCUUGCCAUCAGAUGUGCCCAGAUGGGAUUAGCUKGUUGGUGAGGUAACGGCUCACCAAGGCGACGAUCCCUAGCUGGUCUGAGAGGAUGACCAGCCACACUGGAACUGAGACACGGUCCAGACUCCUACGGGAGGCAGCAGUGGGGAAUAUUGCACAAUGGGCGCAAGCCUGAUGCAGCCAUGCCGCGUGUAUGAAGAAGGCCUUCGGGUUGUAAAGUACUUUCAGCGGGGAGGAAGGUGUUGUGGUUAAUAACCRCAGCAAUUGACGUUACCCGCAGAAGAA
rnacentral:rRNA from 1 species